UGUUAAUGUUGUCAGUAUCGUCGUUUCCUGCGUCCGCUCGGGGAUCCGCGUAGUGUUUCUGCGACUCCCACAAGCGACGCCGGCCUAUUCAAUGAACAUUCGUGGGCAUCGUGUGAGACGGUGCGCGGUCGUAGGCGGUCCUGUGAGAAUUGUGCAAAACCGUUCGGUGCGUGUUCAAAACACGCCGCGAUAGUAAAAAAUUGGUAUAUUCCUAGCCAGCACUCGCGAUCAUUUGGAGAGAUGAAAUUCGGUUUCGGAGCACGCACUAUUCACACAGUCGUAGGAGUAAAACAAAGUAGGUUUCGAAAAAAUUAUGGACGCUGCAACCGCAUGGGAGAAAAUUGAACAAGUCUUGUCCAACACGCGGCCUAACCAAAGAACUGAUAUUCUGUUCGGCCUACGGAAUUGGCUAGAGUCUUGUGGAGAAGAACGGCCCGAUACGGCCGUGAACCAAAAAGUUGCUUCUCAAUUGGAUAUCAUUGCUGACUUCAUUCGAAAAAAACUGCCUUUGGAUGCAAUACUACCCUCGGAGAGGAUAGUCGCUCCAACUUCUGGAGAGAACGCCGAUUGUAACCCGCGUACUACAAUGCAUGUUGAUGCUUUCCUUUACCCGGAUGAAGAAAUUAAUAAACUUUGUGAAGAUGGCAUUCUUUCAAUGUCCUAUUGCUCCGAUUGUGGGUCAAGGAAUAUCCGACCGCUCACUAUUAUUUCUCACUCAGCGUCGAAAAGUCGAACUCAGUUCAUCUUUCAGAAGGUAUUGCCUCCUGAUCUUGUGAACGGCGGUACAGUGGUUGAUGUGGGAUCUCGGUUGGGUGUGCUCUGUUAUGGGGCUUAUUUGAUGUCCGGCGCAAGUCGGAUAAUAGGAGUCGAAUUAAACUCAGAUCUGUGUACUCUGCAAGAAAGUGUUAUCCAAAGAUUUUCUAUGAAUGAUCGAAUUCAGAUCGUGAAUGCUGAUAUAGUGAGUUUGCCGGACGUUCUCGCUGGAGCCAACGCUGUCUUUAUUAAUAACUCGUUUGAGUUUUUUAGUGAUCACUCCAAGCAACGUGAAAUAUGGGCGUUCAUUGCCAGAAGUUGUAAGCCAGGAUGUAUUCUAGUCACCGUGCCUUCACUGGAAGAUGCUUUCAAGUCCUUGCAAAUUUCUCCAACACUGGUUGAUCUUACGAAAUGGGUACGCAAGAUGCCUAUUGCGCUGAGUUUUAUGGAUGAGAGCGACGAUGAAUUCGCUGAGAUGAAAGAAGUUCAUCGAUACGAAGUGUUAAACCCAAUGAAGUGACGUUUGCUGUUGUUGUAAGGAGCAACCGUUCUCAGCAGCGUGUCGUUGAAGCCAUACGCGAUAUUGCCACAGGAAACGGCGUUCUUCUAUUCGCCAUCUGCGCAAGCUCCUGGUAGGAGAAAAGCACCUUUUGUUUACUGCACUUCUGAGGCUUCUAUGCCUUCAUCUACCACUCAAGAGCCUCUGAGUACUUCACAACCGGGGGCGCACGUAUACCUUCUAGGUAACGAAAUGCUUACUGUUACGUACACACAUCUACGUACACAUUAAGUACAUGAUUUGAAUUAAAAGAAAAAUCAAGGCUAAGUUGCAACUCAUAUGCUCGUAGGUGACAUAUGUCGUAUUAUUUCGAGGUCUUAGUUUUAUCAUGAAAAAAAGUAAAAUAUUAGAUGUAUCAAACAAACUGCAAUUUCAUAAAUUUUGAACUACAAAAUUAAAGAAUACCCUUCUUAGUCUCCUUUUAAUGGCCUUCUAGUGAACAUCAGCUCUAGAAAUUCCAGGAAAAAAGUUCCAAGUUCUAAUCUCGAAAAUCGAUGCUUAGUAUUCAUUUUUUGUCCACAAAGGCCACAGCGUUGCGAAAUAAAGAUGUUAAACAAGAAGGGAUUAUGCGAAGUACAGUCAGUGAAUCGCGAAAAUGUUGUAAGAACCAAGAUUGAAGUGUAGGACCAGGCAAUAGAUGACCAGAUGUCGGACAUAUGAACGCAUGGCCACAAUUGAGAGGUAUUUUCACGUAAGUUGAGUUUGGAGUCCGGGGGCUGAGUAGGCAUAACACACGAAGUGUCACAGAAAUAUAACCCAAUCCUAAAAAUUAUAAUAAAUACUGGAUACAGAUUUAUAACAAGUACUAAAAUCGCCCGCGCAUUGACUCUAUACCAAUUGAUUGCAUAUAUGCAUUCCAUGUGCAAUUUGCGAAUUCCUAAUAAACGAAAAACCUGCCUAAAGCCCAUACACUAGGCAUAGUUCAAUUUGUACCGCCAACCGGAGAGGGUGCCAGGGGAAAGAACGACGCUGCCCUGGAGGCUAUCGUUUCUUUAUCACAAUUGCAGACGUUCUGGCUAUGCCUCAGUUAUUUUCUAGAUUGCGCAAAGGAAUAUCCAGCCUUGGCCUCAACCUGCUUAUCUCCCGGUCUACGUUCGUAUAAUUACGGGGCCUUUUUAUGUCUUCGAAAGGAUAACUGGUGGGCAAGCAAAUAUUCUCCAGGUACGUAUAAAGCUGUCAACAAUGUUGAAUGGUUCUUUAACAAGGCGGUUCACGUCAUACAUCAGUCCAACUAUAAUUGCUAUCCAAAAGCACAGUCCGCUACUUCGUAUUUGCCAACACGAAUGUACCCAGACUUAAUAUAUUAAACAUGCCUUCCACGUCAAAAUGAAAAGAAGUCCAUUAGGUUAACGAAAAGAGGUCCAUUAGGUUAUAUGAUAAUCAGUUUAAUACGCGUAGCAAUAUUGAGAGAUGAAGCUGCCUUGUUUUUUUUUUGUUUUGCCAUUGCUUUCCAUUAAAGAUUUAACCUCAACCGAUCCGAAGGUGCCUCACAGCUUGCGGCUCUAGAGGCUCCUAAAACACUGCUACGGGAGGUGCUUUCGAUACAAGCGUUUUGCCUCAUUACUACACAUGCUCCACAUGUGCCUUUUUUUUUUUUGACAUAGCAUUUUCCUUCACUAAUAAACGUUUUUUGUUAGGCCUCUCACUAGAUUUGACCCUAAUAACGAUAUAAGCCUAAUGUUCUCCUUCGAAAUUGCAUUUCUUGUCGCUUCUGGACGCUGCGUAAAGUUACAACCAUCCAUAUAGUUCACCUAUAGCAGAACUUCAUAAUGCCUUUUCAAAGAAUAAGAAUGUUUUCUUUAACUUUUCUACUGUAAAAAUUUUCAAAUUAUAACCUGCGCACCCGACUGCUUGUUUAUUAAAAACUUGAUUUCUAAAACUGGCUUAAAAUUGCGGGAGUACUUCGUCCUUAGAUUCAUUGACAUUCUUUGCCUGAAUCUUGAAGGUGUUCUUGUGCUCUUUACCAUUAUUUCUAUGUUACUAGACGCACAUUACACAAAUAACAAUGAAAACAGUAACAAAAACCAGUCUUCGCGUAGUAUGCUCUCCGCAAAAACAUCCAAUACCAUCUUGAUUUCUGUUGAAGACUGGCAUCUUCGGAAGUAUAUCCGCGAUAGUCUUUUCUGGCUUGGCCUCUUGUUAAAUAGUAUUCACAGUAAGUUAGUAGUAUCCACUUUAUUUCGCAUCAUCUUUGGCUCAUAUAGGUAUUGGCAUUUAGUAAGACCCUUACGUAAACUUAGAUAUCCGGCGCAAUAAGCUGAGAUGCACACUAUAUCCAUUGCGGGUUAGUACCGCAGCAUACUCAGCAACGGUUGUAAAAAGACGGUCGACUGUUUUGAUAGGCUACGCUAAUUUACUUUAAAGUAGGUUACUUUAAAGUAGUUACUGUAGUUAUAGUAUUGUAUUUUCGCUUGUAUUAUCUCAGUUAAAAUCUUUAAAGUUUGUUUCACGAUUAUGAUGGGUAGGUUGUGCUGUAGCUGACUAAAGAGUAGAUAGUUACCGGAAGUCAGCUACAUUGUUACCUGCCUAACACUUACCUGCUCGACAGUUCCGGCUCAAAAUUAAACAAAGCUCGUAAAUACAUUUUCUCCACAAGAGGCACGGUUCGAGUCCCGAAAAUCUGCUAGGUAAUCAUUUUUGACUACAUUCAAUAAACCUCAGUUCCAACAGCAUAAUUGUCACUAGCUUUCUACCAAGAACGUUGAAAACAGACAUCAACUUACAAACUUACAGAGAGCUACCCUAAAACACUAGAUCGACGUAUACGACGCAUCGAAACAUCGCAAAGAAAAACGGAGCAAAAACCUACUUCCAAAUUCGGAAGGAUUGUCUUUGCUACCCAUAAAAGCCUAUAAUACUUCGAUAUUAGACGAAAAGUGAAAUUUAGAAUCCACAAAGCUGUUUUCAUAUUUGACGAGAAGUGAAGUCCUAGAAGCCACAAAGGUGCACGUGAACGUGACCUUUUCCCUGGCACGCCUUAGGAGUACCUUUCUCCAGACCACGUCGUAAGUUCCUCUCUAAGAAUACCUCUGAAAUAUUCCACCCGAAAGAAUCACCGUUUUGCAUCAACAAGCACACCAGACACACCGAGCCAAGCAGCCAGUGAAAACACACCAGUGAAAACUCAAAAAAUGUCACCUUCGUAUGCCUUUAUUCACAACAAACACGUCCUGGAAGUCGUUCAUCCGGGAUAGUAAUGCCUGGCAUGCAAUGUGCGAGCACGCACAAAAACUGGUGCACGAAUAAAACAUGCGGGAGCACAGAGGGUGAGAAACCAUCUACUGGAAGAACCUACUUACCUUUUUUGGCCUAUUUGAAACAAUGAGUGGAGAAGUGAAAGACCUUCACAUAGGGCCUGCCACCAUAGCUUACCAUAGCGCAGUGAUAAGAUUUUCCUUCCCUAUCGGGAGACGAAAUCCUGCCACGAAAUCCUGUCCAACGCCACGGACAAUCGAGGGCAUUGACGGCCGCGGCCGAGAGGAAGGAGAGCACUCGCAGGUUGUGCGGCGUACAGCGCACACAUCAGCCAUACCCCGUACAAGUACUGGCUACACAUCUGAGUAUUCCGAUGCUUCCUGCGCAACAGGUUCAGACAUUUCCCUGAUUUCACUAAUAGGGAGUGGUAACCUCACUACCGGCGUUCCUUCCAGAUGUCUUCGACCUGUUUUGUGACUCUCAAUAAGGCUGGUUGUAAUUAGCCAUCCAUAUAUCUUCUCCCAGUCAAAGUGAACUUCCAUAUCCUGGUCGGACUGGAUAGGCGACAAGCAGUAAGGAAUGUUGUAGCGGUAGUGGUAGUUGUAGUACCAGUAGCGCGAAAUUUCGAACUAUGCACACAAGAGAUGUGUGCCGCACUACGUGAAAUCAUUCGUCCACGAAUGGAUCCAAAAUACAGUUGCAAACGCCCAAAGAAUUCCAUUGCUAAUGAAGUUUUGCACAUACUUCCGACUAUCGUAAUUAUCGAAAGUGUACUACCGCACACAUUUCUUCAGAGAACGUGAUAGAAGCAAGAAGCAAAAAGGGGUCCAAGCACAAAUCCAGAGCAGGAUGAUAUACAUUAGAAGAAUAGCUUUUAUGGUGCUGACCUCUUUACGAAUUUCCAUUCAAGCCAUUUCCUUUCUGCACCCAGUGACUGACCGAGCGACCGACCGGACUGCUUAAUCCAAGAAAUUUUCUCCAUAUCCGAAAUUCUCUCCAUAUCCGUUAUCCUGAAAGACUGCCUCAGGCUUAGUGAACUCCAAUACACUGACCAUAUAUCCACCUGAAUUCCCGAAGACACAGAUGUGCGAGCUUUCUCCACAAUAUCACACUCCAUAUACCAUGAUCUAUAGAGAUGCUAACGAUUUCCCACACUAACACUGUUCACCGACAAAAACACCGCCAGCCUGUCCUAACUUCCGUUCCUUAAAGACCGUUCCAUCAUCAAAGACUUCCUCCUCCAUCCAAUAGUUUCCUAACUGUGUAUGUGUGUGUGACCUUCACCUGUUCCUUCCCAAAGAGAAAGAAAGCGAGAGAGUUACCAUCAAGUCCAGCUUUCUUACCCUGUAUGCCUUCCUCUUCUGCCGUCUUUUCCUUUUAAUCUCCACAACGAACUAGUUAGCUCCUUAUCUGAUUGUCAUCAUUUCUUGCGUACUCUCAAAACCACAUCGAGCACAUCACUAAUCCAAUUGCGAUCUAAUUGUUCAUCACUAAUCAUCCAAUUGUCCACUGAUUUAGCUGAGGUGAUUUUGGAUAAAGAUUGAUUUUGUCUGAUACGUGUGAGCUAUAGAGAUUACGAGAUCGUGUCCUGUAGGUAAAC